rnacentral:rRNA from 1 species
CACGUAGGGCGCAAGCGUUGUCCGGAAUUAUUGGGCGUAAAGAGCUCGUAGGCGGUCUGUUGCGUCCGCUGUGAAAACUCGGGGCUUAACCCCGAGCCUGCAGUGGAUACGGGCAGACUAGAGGUAGGUAGGGGAGAAUGGAAUUCCCGGUGUAGCGGUGAAAUGCGCAGAUAUCGGGAGGAACACCGGUGGCGAAGGCGGCGACCUGGGUAGAUACUGACGCUGAGGCGCGAAAGCGUGGGGAGCAAACAGG